GCGCUGGAUAGCAUGCAAGUCGACGGGCGUCGCAAGACGCCAGUGGCGGAAGGGUGAGUAAGGCGACGGCAACCAACCCCGAGGAUGGGUAUAGCCGCGGGAAACUGCGGGUAAUCCCCAGCGAUGCGAGGGCGUCGGCAUCGACGCUUCGCCAAAUGGAUUCGUCCGCCUCGGGACGGGCCGUCGUGGUAUUAGGUCGUUGGCGGGGUAGCGGCCCACCAAGCCUUCGAUGCCUACCGGGCGUGCGAGCGUGGCCCGGCACACUGGGACUGAGACACUGCCCAGACUCCUACGGGAGGCUGCAGUCGAGAAUCUUCGGCAAUGGGCGCAAGCCUGACCGAGCGACGCCGCGUGGAGGACGAAGGCCUUCGGGUUGUAAACUCCUGUCGAGGGGGAGAAAGGGCUCGCAAGGGCCUUGAUCGAUCCCUGGAGGAAGCACGGGCUAAGUUCGUGCCAGCAGCCGCGGUAAGACGAACCGUGCGAACGUUAUUCGGAAUCACUGGGCUUAAAGCGCGUGUAGGCGGAUCGGUGCGUCGGCGCCUGAAAUCCCCCGGCUCAACCGGGGAACGUGGCCCGAAACGACCGAUCUCGAGGGACGUAGGGGGGUCUGGAACUUCCGGUGGAGCGGUGAAAUGCGUUGAGAUCGGAAGGAACGCCCGUGGCGAAAGCGAGGCCCUGGACGUCUGCUGACGCUGAGACGCGAAAGCUAGGGGAGCGAACGGGAUUAGAUACCCCGGUAGUCCUAGCCGUAAACGAUGAGCACUGGGUAGGGGGCUCGCCGAUGGGCUCCCUGCCGUAGGGAAACCGUGAAGUGCUCCGCCUGGGGAGUAUGGUCGCAAGGCUGAAACUC
rnacentral:rRNA from 1 species